UGUCAGGGGCGUGGCUUGCCUGGGGCGUGGCCUGCCAGAGGACGGGCAGCCGGCAGGGUGGAGGGACAGGUGGGAGUCACGCCAGCUCCAACCAGGUCUAGAACCCAAACCUUCAACCCCUGAGCUUUCCUGCCUUCGAGUCCUCGGAGCUCUCCUGGAGGCUGAGCAGGCAACAGAGCCUGCUCCUCAGCUGGAUGUGGCCCGUGGGAGGUGGAGAAACUGAGGCUCAGAUAAAUGACUAAGAAGUAAAGUGAGGUCCCAUAGCCAGUGAAUGGCAGAGCAGGGAUUCGAACCCAGGUCUCUCAUCUGGGAAGUGGGAUGAUAGCGCCAACCUAGCUGGAUUGCUGUGACUGCCAGCACAAUGCCUUCUAAGGGUUCAAGAGUCUCGCUCUGUCACCCAGGCUGGAGUGCAAUGGCACAAUCUCAGCUCACUGCAACCUCUGCCUCCCGGGUUCAAGUGAUUCUCCUGCCUCAGACUCCUGAGUAGCUGGGAUUACAGGCACGCACCACCACGCCCAGCUAAUUUUUGUAUUUUUCAUAGAGACGGGGUUUCACCAUGCUGGCCAGGCUGGUCUUGAACUCCUGACCUCAUGGUCCACCCACCUUGGCCUCUCAUAGUGCUGGGAUUACAGGCCUGAGCCACCGUGCCCGGCUGAUCCCUUAUUGAUGCACAUUUAGCUUGUUUCCGUGUUUGGUAAUUACAUGAAAUGUUGCAAUAAAUAACUUUGUACACAUCCCACUUCAAAUGUGUGCUAGCAGACCUGUGGGAAAUUCCCAGGAGUGGAACCGCCGGGUUAGACGUGGCUAUGCACAGUUGCGAAGGAAAGGAGAGGUCGGAUGGCCCUCCUUGGAGAUUACACCAGGCUACACUUCCACUGGCCUUGUCUGCAUCUGUCUGGUCCCCAUAGCUUUGCCAGCAGUGUUAUCAAACUCUGUGAGCUUUGCCAGUCUGAUAUUUGAAUAAUGGUAUGUCAGUGUGGUUAGACAUUUUAAAACAGCAAUUAUAUUGGUGGCUGUUUACCGAGCAGGAGUACGCCAUGCCAGGCACGUUUACAUAUGACAUACUGCUCAUUCCUCAUGGGGAGCCACUGGAGGCAGAGAGCAGUUGCUCCAUUUUAUACAGGAGGAAACUGAGGCCCAGAGAGGUUAGGCACUUUCCUACAGUCCUUAUAGCCCUGGGAGCAGCAUGGGAGUUCGAACCCAGUUUGUCUGACUCGGGCCAAUUCUCCUUCCUUAUUCCAGGCUGCCUUUCAGUGACAGGCUGCUGAGGACACCCUAGGCCAGGAGCCACCCCACCUGGCCCACCGAGGCUCUGGACCCUCCCAGGGCUAUUGCUUCUCUGGAGUUGGGUGAUGAACAGAGGGUUGGACCCCCCAAGCCCUGCAUGGGGGUAGAGGCCCUCCCUGAGAAGGACCUCCAGAGCCCAGCUCUGCUCUCCCAGGGUGUGGUUCCAUGGGAGGUGGGCUCCACUGGUCCUAAGCUCUGGGCAGGUUGGCAUCCCCAGAGGGCAAUGCUGACAACACCUCCCUUGGCACCCCCAAGGGUUCGUUUCUCAGCAGCAACUUCCAAAGGCUGUUCCCCCAGGUCUCUGUCCCUUUCCUGAGCCCUCCCCUGUCCUUCUCCAGGCAACCCACAGCCCCAGCAGCCUGUGCACAUUUAGCGCUGGAUCCCUGAUCCCUUGGGCUUGGCCUCACUCCUCUCUGGCUCCAUGCCCCCAGAUCUCUUUGGCAUGACCAACAACUGGCUGGCGAGCCCAGAGAUGGGGGAAGAAGGGCCCUGAGCCAUGAGUGCACCUCACUGCAUGGCCCUGGUCAGGUCCCUCUGCCUCCCGGGGCCUCACUGUGUCCACAGCCUCCUGCACGCCACGAAGCACCUCCCCGAUGUGCCAGCUCCCCCAGCACCAGCCUCAUCCCAAGGAAGGAGGAGGCGACUCCCACUACUCAAGGGGCUGUUCCCCAUGGCACCCCUCAGGCCGCUGCAGGAGACUAUAAGCCCCUCACAACCGAGGCCAUUUUCCCCACUCCCUUCCCCGCAAGCCCUAAAUGGCCCAGCAACAACUCUGAACUCUGAUCUCGGUCAGCCCAGCACGGGUGGGGCAGGAGGUUCUGUCAACAGCGAGAGAAACUCGUUAACUGAAUGUCAAUAGGAUUAAAGGCUCUGAUGGUCCAGGA
rnacentral:lncRNA from 1 species